CACUUUGAUGCCUGCCUCCUCCAGCCGACUGCGGACGGUCUGGACGAUGUCCUUCAGAGUUAUCUCCAAGGUUGGAAAGUUGCCUCGUCCGUGGAUAGGUACAACUUCAGUGAGGACCUCAUGCAGCCGGCUAACCUGAUCCCAGUUGAGCACGCUGAAGGACAUGCAAUCCCUGGUACAGCUGCUCUCCUCUGCCAUCUUCAGGGGAUGUUCUGGCUGGGGAAACUGGGCAAUAGAAGAGGAGGCGACAGAGGCAGGUCCUUGGCGUGGGCAGGCCCCAGCAG
rnacentral:lncRNA from 1 species